rnacentral:pre_miRNA from 11 species
UCGAGUCAUUUUGAAGUGUUUUCGUCACCUCCGGACAAGAGUCUUCCAUCGGCCGUGUCCAUUUUUUCGACAAGAAUUCCCAUCUCUCGGCGACGGAGCAUCUUUUUGAAAUUACGAGUUAAUUAAAUAAAAAAGUUUUCUCUGUUUUCGAGAGACGGAAGUCUUGCACAAGAAAUUUAAAAAAACAGGUCGGUGGGACUUUCGUCCGUGUGUGAUGCACUUGACAACACCGCGCCAUUUU